CGCGGGGUGGAGCAGUGGUAGCUCGUCGGGCUCAUAACCCGAAGGUCACAGGUUCAAAUCCUGUCUCCGCAA
rnacentral:tRNA from 1 species